rnacentral:rRNA from 1 species
UACGAAGGGGGCUAGCGUUGCUCGGAAUCACUGGGCGUAAAGCGCACGUAGGCGGAUUGUUAAGUCAGGGGUGAAAUCCUGGAGCUCAACUCCAGAACUGCCUUUGAUACUGACGAUCUGGAGAUCGGGAGAGGUUGGUGGAAUUCCGAGUGUAGAGGUGAAAUUCGUAGAUAUUCGGAGGAACACCAGAAGCGAAGGCGGCCAACUGGCCCGAUACUGGCGCUGAGGCGCGAAAGCGUGGGGAGCAAACAGG